rnacentral:rRNA from 1 species
GACGAACGCUGGCGGCGUGCCUAAUACAUGCAAGUAGAACGCUGAAGGAGGAGCUUGCUUCUCUGGAUGAGUUGCGAACGGGUGAGUAACGCGUAGGUAACCUGCCUGGUAGCGGGGGAUAACUAUUGGAAACGAUAGCUAAUACCGCAUAAUAGUAGAUGUUGCAUGACAUUUGCUUAAAAGGUGCAAUUGCAUCACUACCAGAUGGACCUGCGUUGUAUUAGCUAGUUGGUGGGGUAACGGCUCACCAAGGCGACGAUACAUAGCCGACCUGAGGGGGUGGACGACCAAACUGGGAAUGGAAACGCGCCCAGAACCCCACGGGGGGACGGAGGAGGGAAAUUUUGGACAUGGGGGGAAAGCUAGCCGCACAAACCCCGGGGGGUGAAAAAGGUUUUGGGGUGGUAAAGCCAUGUUUAAAGGGAAAGAAGGGGGGGGGAGUAAAAAGUUCACGCUGUGAGGGUACCUUACAAGAAAGCAGCGGCUAACUACGUG